CGAACGGGUGAGUAAUACAUCGGAACGUGCCCUGUAGUGGGGGAUAACUAGUCGAAAGAUUAGCUAAUACCGCAUACGACCUGAGGGUGAAAGCGGGGGACCGCAAGGCCUCGCGCUACAGGAGCGGCCGAUGUCUGAUUAGCUAGUUGGUGGGGUAAAAGCCUACCAAGGCGACGAUCAGUAGCUGGUCUGAGAGGACGAUCAGCCACACUGGGACUGAGACACGGCCCAGACUCCUACGGGAGGCAGCAGUGGGGAAUUUUGGACAAUGGGGGCAACCCUGAUCCAGCAAUGCCGCGUGUGUGAAGAAGGCCUUCGGGUUGUAAAGCACUUUUGUCCGGAAAGAAAUGGCCUGGGUGAAUACCCCGGGUCGAUGACGGUACCGGAAGAAUAAGCACCGGCUAACUACGUGCCAGCAGCCGCGGUAAUACGUAGGGUGCGAGCGUUAAUCGGAAUUACUGGGCGUAAAGCGUGCGCAGGCGGUUUUGUAAGACAGGCGUGAAAUCCCCGAGCUUAACUUGGGAAUGGCGCUU
rnacentral:rRNA from 1 species